UACAGAGGGUGCGAGCGUUAAUCGGAAUUACUGGGCGUAAAGCGUGCGUAGACGGUCAUGUAAGUCGGGUGUGAAAGCCCCGGGCUCAACCCGGGAAGUGCACUCGAUACUGCGUAGCUUGAGUCUCGGAGAGGUUGGUGGAAUUCUCGGUGUAGAGGUGAAAUUCGUAGAUAUCGAGAGGAACACCGGUGGCGAAGGCGGCCAACUGGACGAAGACUGACGCUGAGACACGAAAGCGUGGGGAGCAAACAGG
rnacentral:rRNA from 1 species